rnacentral:tRNA from 1 species
GGGGACUUAGCUCAGCUGGUAGAGCACCUGCUUUGCAAGCAGGGGGUCACCGGUUCGAAUCCGGUAGUCUCCA